AGGAAAGUAGCUCAGUGGUAGAGCGCUUGCCUUGUAUGCAUGAACCCCUGGGUUCCAUUCCUC
rnacentral:tRNA from 1 species